UACGAAGGGGGCUAGCGUUGCUCGGAAUCACUGGGCGUAAAGGGUGCGUAGGCGGGUUUUAAGUCAGGGGUGAAAUCCUGGAGCUCAACUCCAGAACUGCCUUUGAUACUGAAGAUCUUGAGUCCGGGAGAGGUGAGUGGAACUGCGAGUGUAGAGGUGAAAUUCGUAGAUAUUCGCAAGAACACCAGUGGCGAAGGCGGCUCACUGGCCCGGUACUGACGCUGAGGCACGGAAAGCGAUGGGGAGCCAAACAGG
rnacentral:rRNA from 1 species